GAUGAUGGCCAUACCACUCUGAUCCCAUUAACUAAGCAGGGUCAGGCCUGGCCAGUACUUGGAUGGGAGACCACCUGGGAAUACCAGGCUCUGUAGGCU
ensembl:rRNA 5S_rRNA 5S ribosomal RNA